GACAUCCUUUAAAUAUAGAAUUUGGAAGAAGAUCCGCAUACCUGUAUCAAAUCUAUAAAGAAAACUAAUUCAUAUUUGAAGUAGUUAUAAUGCCUAAUGUAAUUACUUAUAACAGGAAAAUGAGUCAUACAAAGACAUGCGUCACCCUGUUUACAGCUGUUUUGAUGUUGCAAAUGUCUCAUGGCGCAAGUUAUAGACUUGUAUUUAGUAAAGGAUUUCAAUGCUAUGCUCCGAAAUUUAACUAUGGUGCUCAGUGUCGGUCACCCACAGAGAUUUCCGGUUCCUUCUGGUCUCAAGUCUUCUUCAGAGUCGACCACGGUUGC